rnacentral:lncRNA from 1 species
UGUUGAGUCAACCUUGGUCUCCGGAUGGUCUACAACAUGCAUGUAGCGGCACAACAUGCAUGUAGCUGUAGCAGUAUUUACUUACUAGCUUGUAGUAUGCAUGUCGGCAGCAACAAAGGCUGCAUGCCUUACUAGUGAAGUUUAGUAGUAGUAGAAACGUAGCUUGCUUGGUAAGCUAGCUAGUGACGCAAGUGCUUACCUCACUGCUAGCUGAUAUUUUGCUUAGGUCGGUUCGGCUGUCCUAUAUAAGGAGCCUCACACCCUGGGUUGUAACUCAGGCCAUUCCAAUUUCACUACAAGGCAGCUCAAGUAGUACUCCUCUCUCACGUGUGUGUGCAUGUUCAGUGUAGAAUCAAGUGAGCUCUACUCUGCUAGUACGUGUGUGGUGCUUCCGUGAGUGCUUGGCUAUCGUAGUUCGUUCCUGAGGAUACUAGCCAGCUACGUUGUAGUUCUGGGCUAACAAUUGGUAUCAGAGCCUCUAGUUGUGGUAGCCAUGGCCGGUGGUAAAGGAGUGCAGCAACGCACCACCUCGGGUGGUUCCCAGUCGCCGGCUCCGGAGGAGCGGCGAGGGCGCAGCCGCUCCAGGCGCGGCCAUCGCGGUGAGGUCGUGGUUAGGGAGAUCGUGCGCGAGACCACAAUCAGCGGUAGCGUGCCCAUCACCUUCCCGAUGCUCACGCGCUCAAACUACAGCGAGUGGGCGUUGAUCAUGGAGUGCAACCUUCAUGCGGCGAGCCUCUGGGCUCCCAUGGAGGAUGACCUGAUCGAGAGAAAGGAGGACAGGAAAGCCGUGGCAGCCCUCAUGCGCGCCACGCCGCCGGAGAUGCACGGCAUGCUCGCGGCGAAGGCAAGCGCCAAGGAGGCGUGGGAAGCCAUCCAUACCCAGCGCCUCGCCAGCAACCGCGUGCGCGAGGCGAACGCGCAGAAGCUGCGGGUGGACUUCGAGAACAUCGCCUUCAAGGAGGGCGAGCUCGUCGACGAAUUCGCCAUGCGGAUCUCCAGCCUUGCGUCACAGCUCCGCGCGCUCGGCGACACCAUGGACGACGCGAGAGUCGUGCGGAAAUUUCUCCGCGUCGUGCCAUCUCGCUUCGCUCAGGUAGCGGUCUCCAUCGAGACCUUGCUUGAUCUGAGUGAGCUCUCCGUCGAGGAGAUCACGGGCCGGUUGCGGGUGGUCGAGGACCGUCUUGACGACGGCCGCGAGAGCUUCGGCGGCAGACAACUCCUAUUCUCAAAUAAGUGGGAGGCGAGGAAGCGUCAAGGACGUGGUGGCGGUGCCCAGAGCGGCAGAGACGGCGGUCGCACCCAGGGUGGAGCCGGACGAGGUGCCGGCAACGACGACCGAGACAGGUGCCGAUAUUGCGGCAUCAAGGGCCACUGGGCCCGUGAGUGCCGCAAGAGGAUGGCUGACGAGGAUGCCGCGGCCGCGGCGAACCUCGUCGAGGCUGAAGAGGACGGUGGGCCAGCAAUGAUGAUGGCUUGCGUCGAGACCAUGCAGGAGGGCAUAGCGCCUCCGAAGACCAUGGUCCCGACAAGCAUCGAAGCCGUGCAGGAGGGCGCAGCACCUCCGGAGACCACGGUGCUGGCAAUCGUUAAGUCCGUGUGGGAGGCACGGAGCUCUUCAACUAAUCCCCUCCCCACAUCAUUAGCGCUCUCCCCGACAACAACGUUCUCGGGAGACUACGAUUGGGAGGAGAUGAAGACCCGGAUGUGGGGGAGCCACACCCCGGAAACCACGUCCCCUGCGACGCUGGUCAAGCCCGUGCAAGUUGGCACGGCAAAGGCGUACCCGACAUCCUCGGGACCCAAUAAGCCCGUGUCAGGAGGCACGGCAACGACGUAUAUGGUGGGCCACGUCCCAACCAUGAUGCUGGUGACCAGUGAGACCGUGCAAGAGGCACGACAAUCUCAGGUCGGCCACACCCCGACAACCAGGUUCUCGGGGUUCUGCAAGCCCGUGUGGGCAACGCGGCACUCUUCGACAAGCCUCAACUGGGAGGCAAUGAAGAGACGGUCAUGGGGUGGCAAGGCCUCGACCGAGACUAUGGCGACCUUAGAGUCCGUGCAGGAGGCACAACACUCUCUGGUUGGCUAUGCCGCGACCCCGACGCACUUGGAGUCCAUCGAGUCCGUGCGGGACGCACCGGACUCUGUAGUUGGGCACGACCCAACUACGCUGGUGGCGACCGUCGAGACCGUGCAGGAGGCACGGUGCUCUAUUGUCGGCCACGCCGCAACCCCGACUCACUCGGGGUCCAUCGAGUCCGUGCGGGAGGCACGACUCACGAUUGUCAAGGGAGACCCGACAAGCAAGCCUGAUGGGAAGAGCACGAAGGACUCCACUACCCUGAGAGGAGCCACUCCGGUCAGUGUGGCGUCUGGCACAACGACCCCGGGAAGGGAGUUUCCGGGCAGUGCGGCGUCCGGCACGACGACCCCAGGAAGGGAGUUCCUGGGUAGUGCUAUGUCCAACAAGUCAUCCCCGGGAAGGGAGUUCCUGGGUAGCAUGACGUCCAACACGACGACCCCGGGAAAGGAGUUCCUGGGCAGUGUGACAUCAGGAACUACGAUCCCAGGAACACUGACGCCCACGAGCGAGGUGGUUCCCGGGCAGUUCAUGUCCCCGCCAACAGCGCGGUCGGACUUGUUCGAUGCCAACAAAAAAUGGUGGCGAUCCACAUAGGUUCCGAAGACUAGAGGAACCUUCUCGAGCCUGCGAGACGAUCGCAGCACCCGAGAUCAAGAAGUGUGAGCAGGGUGUACGGGCCAUACAUAGCCUGAGAAGGCGGACAUCCCAACGAAGGCACUUGGUCAUGUCUGAUUCCAGGAGCAGUGCGAGAAGGUUGGCAUCAUCGACAUCAAGCUCCUUCGACAAGGUUGAGGGGGAGAUUGUUGAGUCAACCUUGGUCUCCGGAUGGUCUACAACAUGCAUGUAGCGGCACAACAUGCAUGUAGCUGCAGCAGUAUUUACUUACUAGCUUGUAGUAUGCAUGUCGGCAGCAACAAAGGCUGCAUGCCUUACUAGUGAAGUUUAGUAGUAGUAGAAACAUAGCUUGCUUGGUAAGCUAGCUAGUGACGCAAGUGCUUACCUCACUGCUAGCUGAUAUUUUGCUUAGGUCGGUUCGGCUGUCCUAUAUAAGGAGCCUCACACCCUGGGUUGUAACUCAGGCCAUUCCAAUUUCACCAGAAGGCAGCUCAAGUAGUACUCCUCUCUCACGUGUGUGUGCAUGUUCAGUGUAGAAUCAAGUGAGCUCUACUCUGCUAGUACGUGUGUGUUGCUUCCGUGAGUGCUUGGCUACCGUAGUUCGUUCCUGAGGAUACUAGCCAGCUACGUUGUAGUUCUGGGCUAACAAUUGUGUUAUUGUGUUAUUGAAUAAACCUGACUGUAUAAACCUGGGUGCAUAUAUAUAAUCCUGAUUUGACUAUAAAUAAACUAGCAGAUUUUACCUGUUUCUAUAAAUAAACCUGGGUGCAUAUAUAUAAACCUGAUUUGACUAUAAAUAAACCUGUCUCUAUAUUUGCCUGUUUUGACUAUAAAUAAACUAGCAGAUUUUACUUUAUUUAGAUUUUAUAAGAAACCUCAGACUUAAAGGUUUGAAAAUUACUGCACCAAAUCUAUAUUUGUAGGAUUUCUAUAGAUGCGAGGAUGGAAAGUUGGAGGAGGCACGAGCAGUUGUCAACAAACAUUGGCCGAAGCUUGUGCAUAAUCUGAUGCACGAGGCACGCCCUUUAGCCAUCCGCAAAUAUAUGGCAACUCAAGGCUAUAAGAGUCUUGAUAAGAAAGCUGGUAGGAGACUCCGUCUUGAGAAGGACAAGUACAUGCAGGUAAAGCAUAUUCAUGCUUGUUAUUUCCUCAACAGGCUGGCACUCAAUUUCUUUUUGACAUAUAUGAGAUGCAAUUGAUCAAUUAGGUUACUCCGAGAUGGUGCGUCGAUAAGGGGGAGUGUUGGGAGCGGAUCGUGGACUAUUGGUGUUCCAAAGAGUACAGGGCGAAAAACAAAGACUAUAGAAAUCGGCGAGCCGGAAUGCUGGAUCCACUACAUCAUCAAGGCAACUUGAAUGUUAU